CCCACCGCUCCCAGACAGCCAACUGCCUUGUCACAUUUCAGACUCCCUCUCCCUCCCCUGCCCACCCACUGAGAGACGCAUCUCUUCCUCUCCUCCUCUCCUCUUUGCACAUCUCCGUGUCUGUGCUGUCACCAGGCCCAGGUUGCUGGAAGGAGGUGGCCUUUCUCUAUGGAUUUCCCCCGGUUCCUUGUGGCCAUCCUGCUGCCUGUGGGCUGGGCCCUUCAGCAAUCAUCAGAUAGAGUUGUCCGGGAGGGAGACCCUGUGAUUCUGGAAUGUUCUGCAUCAGGGAAAACUUUCGUAAACAUGUACUGGUACAAGUUGCCCAUGGAGAAGGAUGCCAGCAUGCAGUUGGUUGUAUACUCAGUGGAAGGUGGCAAAGCAGAUAUUGAGAAGGAAUUCAGAAAUCGCUUCCAGAGUAAUGGGACUCGGAACAACCGUUUAUCUGUGAAGAUAGAUCAUGCCCUACUCAAUGACUCGGGCACAUAUUUCUGUGCUGAACAAGAUCCACAGUGACUCAAAGGCUGGUGCAGCACAGCACAAACCUUUCCAGGCAAACAGGGAUCUGCCACCAGCACACACUGAGCCCUGUGUUUGACCGAACGCCAUUUU